AUUGGAAACUGGGAGACUUGAGUGCAGAAGAGGAAAGUGGAAUUCCAUGUGUAGCGGUGAAAUGCGUAGAGAUAUGGAGGAACACCAGUGGCGAAGGCGACUUUCUGGUCUGUAACUGACACUGAGGCGCGAAAGCGUGGGGAGCAAACAGGAUUAGAUACCCUGGUAGUCCACGCCGUAAACGAUGAGUGCUAAGUGUUAGAGGGU
rnacentral:rRNA from 1 species